AAGUCGUAACAAGGUUUCCGUAGGUAAACCUGCGGAAGGAUCAUUAACACGUAUCCAAACGUGAAAACCCCCCCCGUGAACAUUCAUCCUGCUCUUGUAACCCGUGAAGCUUGCAAUCUCUGGUAAAUCAUAGCCCGAAAAGUAGUUUUGAUUCAGAGACCUCUGGCCCGUGCGAAUAUUGGAACAGUUACAAUUUUGAGCGCCUUGUUUCCCCAAGCAGUCAGUGUCUGAAAGUGUCAUUGAUUGUGCAAGGAUAACGCUUCACGAUUCUUGUAGACCGCAUCUCGCGGGCAGGAGCUAGGCCAAAGGGUCCCCAUGCCCCCUUACAACCCCCGAACAACUGUUAAUGGAUAUCUUGGUUCUC
rnacentral:misc_RNA from 1 species